rfam:Rosellinia necatrix DNA, scaffold: Contig38, strain: W97.
AUGUACGACCAUAGCCUCCAGAAAACUCGGGAUCCCGUCCGCUCUCCCAUAGAUAAGCUGGAGAGCGCCAGAUUAGUAGUUGGGUCGGUGACGACCAGCGAAUCCCUGGUGUUGUACAUU